CCUCUUCCUCCUCCACUAGCCCCACAGUUGCCACCUGCACCCAGGUGCAGCCCUUUUACAAGGAGGGGCUGCUACUGAUCACCACCCUCAUUGGCCACACCUGGGGCUCCAGUGACUGGGGGUCCAGUGACAGGUUUUUAUCAUCUUUUCCUAAUCUUCCCAAAUGUGCCAGUUCUCUGGGAUUAAACUCGUCUUUCCGCACACAAGCUUUACUAUUUCAGAUUAUUAAUGAGCCCCGUUCCAGUCAUAAAUCCACAGGACUUCAGGAAAACACCUGAAGCACCCAGCCCCCCGUCUUUUAGACAAACAAUACCACCUUUUCCACAAAAUUUGCAUUCCAACGGGACCGAAUUUCAAGCCGAAUGGCAAUUUUUCUCAUGCACUUUGUUAGUAAGCCCACACGAAACAAGGAAUCACUCCUACGUAUCCGUCAAUAUGGGGGUUUAAAAAGGUAUUGAGGCCUAAGUAAAUUCGCCCUCCCCCUUUCUUACCAAAUUCCCAGGGCUCAAGCCCGAACCACCAAAGAAGUGACUCUCUCUGUUCUACCGCUUUGAUAAUCAGUCAGCCCCUCUCCCCCGAUACUUGGGAAACCGACCAAACACCGCAGUGAAUAUACCCAAACUUCUGAACUGUUACCUAGAUAAUGCUCCCGCCUUCCUCCUUGUCACACUCAAAGCAUUUAAGA